AGAACGAACGCUGGCGGCAUGCCUAAUACAUACAAGUCGAACGAACACUUCGGUGUUAGUGGCGCACGGGUGCGUAACGCGUGGGAAUCUGCCCUUGGGUUCGGAAUAACAGUUGGAAACGACUGCUAAUACCGGAUGAUAUCGAAAGAUCAAAGAUUUAUCGCCCAGGGAUGAGCCCGCGUAGGAUUAGCUAGUUGGUGAGGUAAAGGCUCACCAAGGCGACGAUCCUUAGCUGGUCUGAGAGGAUGAUCAGUCACACUGGAACUGAGACACGGUCCAGACUCCUACGGGAGGCAGCAGUGGGGAAUAUUGGACAAUGGGCGAAAGCCUGAUCCAGCCAUGCCGCGUGUGUGAAGAAGGUCUUCGGAUUGUAAAGCACUUUAAGUUGGGAGGAAGGGUUGUAACUUAAUACGUUGCAACUUUGACGUUACCGACAGAAUAAGCACCGGCUAACUUCGUGCCAGCAGCCGC
rnacentral:rRNA from 1 species